GGCGAAAUGGCCGAGCGGUCUAAGGCGUUGGACUUAAGUUCCAAUAUCGUAAGAUGCGUGGGUUCGAACCCCACUUUCGUCA
rfam:Parastrongyloides trichosuri strain KNP genome assembly, scaffold: PTRK_scaffold0000028